UACGAGGGGGGCAAGCGUUGUUCGGAAUUAUUGGGCGUAAAGAGCUCGUAGGCGGCGUGUUGCGUCGGUUGUGAAAGCCCGGGGCUUAACUCCGGGUCUGCAGUCGAUACGGGCAUGCUUGAGUUCGGUAGGGGAGAUCGGAAUUCCUGGUGUAGCGGUGAAAUGCGCAGAUAUCAGGAGGAACACCGGUGGCGAAGGCGGAUCUCUGGGACGGUACUGACGCUGAGACGCGAAAGCGUGGGGAGCGAACAGG
rnacentral:rRNA from 1 species